GACGAACGCUGGCGGCGUGCCUAAUACAUGCAAGUAGGACGCAGUUGCGAACGGGUGAGUAACACGUAGGUAACUACCUAUCAGAGGGGGAUAACUAUUGGAAACGAUAGCUAAUACCGCAUACUAGUAGAUGGACCUGCGUUGUAUUAGCUAGUAGGUAGGGUAAUGGCCUACCUAGGCAACGAUACAUAGCCGACCGGCGAGGGUGAUCGGCCACACUGUGACUGAGACACGGCCCAGACUCCUACGGGAGGCAGCAGUAGGGAAUCUUCGGCAAUGGGGGGAACCCUGACCGAGCAACGCCGCGUGAGUGAAGAAGGUUUUCGGAUCGUAAAGCUCGGUUGUUAAGGAAGCGGUAACUAACCAGAAAGGGACGGCUAACGACGUGCCAGCAGCCGCGGUAAUAC
rnacentral:rRNA from 1 species